rfam:Otolemur garnettii contig177827, whole genome shotgun sequence.
GCUGGGCGUUGUGGCAGGUGCCUGUGGUCCCAGCUACUUGGGAGGCAGAGGCAGGAGACUCGCUUGAGCCCAGGAGUUGGAGGUUGCUGUGAGCUGUGAUGCCACAGCACUCUACCCAGGGGGACAGCUUGAGGCUCUGUCUCAAAAAACAACAACAAAAACAAAAAAUGGUAAAAUAAGGAUAUAUAUUAAUAGUAAUAAAUUAUUUAAUAAUUAUGCUUUAGAAUAACUGGGAUUUUUUUUUUUUUUUUUUUUUUGAGACAGAGCCUCAAGCUGUCCCCCUGGGUAGAGUGCCGUGGCAUUACAGCUCACAGCAACCUCCAACUCCAGGGCUCAAGCAAGUCUCCUGCCUCUG